UGUUCUCUGUUUUGUGGGCUGAAUAUUUUUGAGCAGGGAUGGCAUUAUUUAGAGCUUUUUAUUGGUAGCCUACUGAGUGCUCAAACCUGUGCUAGUCCCUAUAGGGAAUAUGGAAAGACUUCUUGGAGCCAUUAUUAUGCUAGUGUCCAUUGUGAUGCUCCUGGCAAGGGCAUUCUCCUAUUCCUAUGACCACAGAGCUUCCCCUUCCCCUUUGCCCUGAAGAUUCUCUCAUGGGACUAGUGUUUCAUUGAAUAACAUGUUGGUUAUGUGUAGCAUGCUGGUUACGUGUAGCAUGCUGGUUAUGUGUAGCAUGCUGGUUAUGUGUGGCAUGCUGGUUACGUGUAGUGUGCUGGUUACGCGUAGCAUCCUGGUUAUGUGAGGCAUGCUGGUUAGGAGCUCUAGGCUCAGGAUCUUGAUUCUGCCCUCUUUGGUUGCAUGAGCUGUGCAAGCUGCUUAACAUCUUUCAGGCUAACUUUCUAUAUUUGUAAAAUGGGAAACAGACUUCUUAGGAAGAUUUUAAGAGAUGUCUUACAGGACCUGGCAGAUAUAUGCUCAAUAAAAAGUAAACUAGCUGGUGUUGCUGCUGUUGCUCUUACUGUUGUUUUUAUUGACUUGAAUAAAGGAAUCUUGCACCUGUCAAAAUGAAACACUACAUAGUAGGUCCUGAUAUUUUGCCAUACUCAGCUGGUGAUAAGAAUCAGAGAAGCCAGCCAUUUGAAUAACUAUGAUUUAUUGAAUUCUUACCAUGUUCUAAGUUCUUUAUGUAUACUGUUUCGUUUAAUCUUCACAACAAUUCUAGGAGUCAGGUUCAAUUGUUAUUGCCAUUUGAUAGAUGAUGAGGGCAAUGAGUCUUAGAGAGGUUAAAUAAUUUGCUAAAGGCCACACAGCCUGUAAAGUGGCAGAAGCUGGGACCAUCCAACUCUAAAGCCCACAUUCUUAGACAUUAGGGGAUAUUGAAUGAAGUGUGUGUAUGUAUGGGGGAAUUUAAGAGAAUAUCAAACCAUUUGUAGAGUUCUACCCAAUAUAGAGACCUUAUCUAAUGUAAGAGAACUCUGAAGACAUCUCAUUGAUUGAAUGCUCUCCCCUUCAUAGCAACUUCUUCUGCGGCUUCCUUGCCUGGUGCUCCAGUCUUUGAGGGAAGCACGGCUGGCACGUUCUUCCGUUUGGAGACAUGGUUGACAAUUUCUCCAUAAUGGGGACACAACUGGCAAUUUUCCUACAGAGUGAGGCAGAUGGCAAUUUUCCUUCAGAGACAUGCAGGCAACAGUUUUGCCCCUGGAGAGAAAAGCCUCGCCGAUUGAGAUGCAGCCAGUAAUUUUUACUAUACAGAAGACACAUCCAAUAAUUUUGCCCAGUGAGAGAAACGGCCAACAAUUUUCCCACAGAGGACAGGAAAAACAGACCAAAAAUUCAUAGUGGGGAGAAGUGAGGAGCAAAUGGGCUGGUAUGACCAAGAAAGACUUAAUAAGAAGCUGAGCCUUAAAUGAUCAAGAAGCACUGGAUAGAUAAGAGGAAUAAUCAUUUAUUAGCCAAGCGGGACUGGUGCCUUUUUGAGAACUGUCAUUCUGGAAAGAUAUUGAUUGAAGGAGGCCUCUGAGCACAUUCUCUCCAGCAGGCAGCCGUAAGGGAGGCGGCUGCAGUCCAGACAAGAUGAUGAGUUGGCAGUGAGCAUCUCGACAGGAGCCUAAUGAAGAAAUCUGGUAGCUUUGUGCAGUUACUCCAAGAGAAGCCCGAACUCCCUGGGGAGCCUCUGCCCAGGUGGAAGAGCUCUCGAGUGGCUAUUAUUAGGGGUGAUUGCUGGGAAGCUGGUUGCCAUGGCACCGCAGAGGCCAGUGCUGAACUCCCAAGCUGCCCCGUUUCCAAGGCUGUCUACAUAAUCACUGCAAUGAGAGGCACAGGCACAGAAAGGGAGAGAGGAGCAGCUCCCCACUGACAGUGAUCUCCCUGCAGAGCAAGGUGAGCAGUUCACAGCUGAGUACGACAGCCCAUCUUGGCAUGGGCCAAGCACUGCCUGGAGGGACCCUGGUGUGAGCUGGUCACUGCUUCACUGUCUUCUCAUGGAUCAGGCAGUCUGCCUCUGUGUUCCCAGUACUGGUUUUCUACAGGAAAACACUGCUCCUAAUCCACUGAUCCAUUUCUUAAAGGUUCCUGGAGUUUGCAAACAUCGAGUAGUGAUAGUCUUCCA
rnacentral:lncRNA from 1 species